GAGUUUGAUUCUGGCUCAGGACGAACGCUGGCGGCGUGCCUAAUACAUGCAAGUCGAGCGGGAGUUAUUUAAGAAGUGAUUCGUCAUGGAAGGAAUAACUUUAGCGGCGGACGGGUGAGUAACGCGUGAGCAAUCUGGCCUAUACAGGGGGAUAACACAGGGAAACUCGUACUAAUACCGCAUAAUUUCUGGGGACCGCAUGGUUUUUGGAGGAAAGUGGAAACACGGUAAAGGGGGAGCUCGCGUUCUAUUAGAUAGUUGGUGAGGUAAAGGCUCACCAAGUCUACGAUAGAUAGCCGACCUAAGAGGGUGAUCGGCCACACUGGAACUGAGACACGGUCCAGACUUCUACGGAAGGCAGCAGUAGGGAAUAUUGGGCAAUGGAGGAAACUCUGACCCAGCAACGCGGCGUGAAGGAAGAAGGUUUUCGGAUUGUAAACUUCUAUCCUUGGUGAAGAUAAUGACGGUAGCCAAGAAGGAAGCCCCGGCUAACUACGUGCCAGCAGCCGCGGUAAUACGUAGGGGGCAAGCGUUGUCCGGAAUGAUUGGGCGUAAAGGGCUCGUAGGCGGCUAGACAAGUCUGGAGUGAAAGUCCUGCUUUUAAGGUGGGAAUUGCUUUGGAAACUGUAUAGCUUGAGUGUAGGAGAGGUUAGUGGAAUUCCUAGUGUAGCGGUGAAAUGCGUAGAGAUUAGGAGGAACACCAGUGGCGAAGGCGACUAACUGGACUAUAACUGACGCUGAGGAGCGAAAGUGUGGGUAGCAAACAGGAUUAGAUACCCUGGUAGUCCACGCCGUAAACGAUGAGUACUAGGUGUCGGGAGGAAUCUCGGUGCCGAAGUUAACACAUUAAGUACUCCGCCUGGGGAGUACGCUCGCAAGAGUAAAACUCAAAGGAAUUGACGGGGACCCGCACAAGCAGCGGAGCAUGUGGUUUAAUUCGAAGCAACGCGAAGAACCUUACCUAAACUUGACAUACCGAUGCCGAUUCGGUAAUGCGAAUUUUCCUUUCGGGGACAUUGGAUACAGGUGGUGCAUGGUUGUCGUCAGCUCGUGUCGUGAGAUGUUAGGUUAAGUCCCGCAACGAGCGCAACCCUUGUCAAUAGUUGCCAGCAUAUAAGGUGGGGACUCUAUUGAGACAGCUAAGGACAACUUAGAGGAAGGUGGGGAUGACGUCAAAUCAUCAUGCCCCUUAUGUUUAGGGCUACACACGUGCUACAAUGGUCAUUACAGAGGGAAGCGAGAUUGUGAAAUGGAGCAAACCCCAAAAAGAUGAUCUAAGUUCGGAUUGUAGGCUGAAACUCGCCUACAUGAAGUUGGAGUUGCUGGUAAUCGCAAAUCAGAAUGUUGCGGUGAAUGCGUUCCCGGGUCUUGUACACACCGCCCGUCACACCAUGGGAGUUCGGGGGGCCCAAAGUCAGUGAGCAAACCGCGAGGGUGCAGCUGCCUAAGGCAAAACGAAUGACUGGGGCUAAGUCGUAACAAGGU
rnacentral:rRNA from 1 species